AAACUCUGGCGAUGGGCAAAAAGACAUUUGACCGGUGGUGCUCCUAUAUCUGUCAGGGGCAAAGCUGUUGUUUGUUCAUCCUAGCUUGAUGCCUGGGUUGGUGGCCAGAGCUGUUUCCUUCUUAGGGCACAUAA